rnacentral:pre_miRNA from 1 species
AAUAACCUUAUUUUUCGUUUUUCCGUGUCCAACAGUUGACCAUUUGUUUUAUUUAAAAAUUUUUUACGUUUAAUUCUUUUAUUAUUACUAGAUGAUAAAAUAUGAAUAAUACUUUAUACAUGACUAAUUUUUUUAAGUUUUUUAUAAAUUUUUUAAAUAAAAUAAAUAGUUAAAUGUUAGAGAGAAAAAAAAUGAAUUUAUUAAGG